ensembl:lncRNA
GACGGGCAGCCAGCUCACACUGGACUGGAGAAGGGUGGACCACAUGAACUGUGGGGCUCACUCAGGACUGGCCUGUUCAAGUAAAGAGGCAGGACCAGGGAGGGCAGAGACCACCUUAAACUGCCUGGCCCCCCUUUCCCUCACACCCCCCACCAGUACCAGCACCCCUCCUCCACUCCCAACACACACUCUUCCUUGCCCUAUACCGGUCUCUCCCCAUUUUACCAAGCAGCCGGCCAGACCUCUGUCUUAUUUUCUACUCUGUCCAUAUCAUUUGAGUUUUCCAUGCGUUUCUACCUCAGCCUCUGAAGCUUUUACCGAGUGCCCCAGGUGAGGGUCCAAGUCUCUAUCCACGACUGCAGAAAUUACCUGGGACUUUUUGACAAUUAUUCCUUUUUUGCUACAUUCUUGGAGUUGCCGGUGUGGCUGUUUCUGCGCGCGAUUGAGAGAGGAAGCCUAGUGUUGCUCUUUGCCCUGGGGGUCUGUGUACACCGUUGACCAGAGGAGAAGACUACCUGUCACCAUGGUGAACGUUCAGCUGCUGUUCCUGCUGGCCCUGGCCGGCCCCUUCUGUGCCAUCGCACGCGCAAGCACACUGGUGUCACCAACAGGCCCAGAGCAUGUGACAGAUGCCACUGACGCCCUCGGACAAGGUGCCACCAUCACAGGUGCGCCGCAAGCUGAAACUAUAACUGCAGUUGAUGAGGUCAUGACGGAAAUCGCUCCCACCACAGAAGCUGACACAGAAGUUGCCCCAAAAACUGCCACAGAACCAGCCCCUGAAGCUACUGAAGCUAUUGCCAUGACGAGUGAAGCCCCCGUUGCUCCUACCGACAACACAGAGCAGGAGAUGCCCACAACAAAGAUCCCUGACAUUGUGAAGGAACCCACGGUAGAGAUCAAACACGAGGAGGAGGUGGAGGUAGAAGAGCCAGAGGAGGGCAUUGGCUCUGGACAAGUGGCUGGUAUUGUGAUUGGUGCAUUGGUGGCAGUGAUUAUCGUUAUUGCCGUGGUGAUCGUUGUGGUGAGAAGAAUGGGCAAAUACUCCCCUUGAGGAGAAAAGCUGCAAGACAGGAAUUCUUCAAAAAGUUCUGUCAAUUCUGAACUACUGAACUAUGCUAUUUCCUGUUAUUAAACAAGCAUGCUACCAGCCCUCUACCAUAACCAGGAUCUUGGACUGUUGCCAAGAGGAGAGGGAGGUGUGUGGGUGAGGAUGUUUGACAACCUCCCCAUUUCUCCCCAAAACCCGGACAGAGCCAUUGAUAUCAACGAUCCUGCGAAACCACACAGCAACCCCCCCACACCAACAACCAAAUGGAGAAAGAUGCGACGCACAGGAUGUCACAGUGAAUUGUAGGGUCUUUCGUAUGCUUUCAUUAAAAGAAAGGAUGUAAGGGAUUUUCUCAUUUGCUCUCUUAUGCAGAGGUGUGUAAAUUAACUCAGAUUUGCAUUUUAGGUUGAUGACAAAUAAAACAAACCAAAAAAAGAUCACAAAAAAAACAAAAAAAUAACAAUAAGAGUGGAAAUAUAUAUAAAAAACAAAAAAAGGUGAAUUCAAUAAGGUGUAUAUACCAUGCAAACUGGCUUCAGUUAUUACUUUAUCAUGUGUUGCAUUUGCUCAUAAUGGAAAUCAUUCUAUGGUACAUUGCAAGGCAGCCUUGGGAUAUUGUUGUCAAUGGACCUAACUGUAAAACCAACCUCAUAGUAUUUCCUCACCUUAACACCUAUUACCAAUACUUCACAACCAAAAUGUUCAAGAACCACAGUAACUGAGGCAGUUUUAGCAGAAUUGUGUUCAUGUUCUGAAGGCUAACGAGAGGCUAAUGAAAAUAUACCUCAUUUGCAAGUGUAACGUGACAUUCUACCAGCUUUAACACUGACAUAAAAACCUAAUACGUAUCUGUGAAAUUUAGCAAAGGGGUUUGUGCCACUGUCUCUGGUAUUCCCUAGAUAGUUUGGAGAUUUUACUUUUGAAGCGCAUUAAUUUACAUUUACUGUACUUUAUCUGCCACCCAUUCCAAUAAGACAACUAUAAGUUGUAAGGUGGUCACUAGCUCAAAUUCUGCUAUCAUUGUCCUUUACAAAGUUUCCACCUUAGUGUAACUGGAUGAAGUGUACCACAAAAAGAAACACAGCCCCCCCCCCCCCAAAUGAAUGCAUGCACAGGAUGUUUUGACUUUUUGGUUGUAAUUAGUUUUAGGUGCACAGUUUUGACAGCAAUGUCCAUAUUUUCUUUAUAAUCGUAAGUGGUCAUUAUUGGGUGUAAAAAUAAUUUUAUUUCAGCUUAGCUCUGCUUGCUUUAACAACUCAGUUAUUAAGUGCACUGAAUGAGUGAUGGUUAUAAUUUAAUGAAUUCGCUUUAGACACCGCAAACAUUUGCAACAAAAAAAUUCAGCUUGUGCUUUGUUAUCAACUCUAUGUCUUUAAUUUCACUGUCGGAUUUGUUUGAAUCCUUUUAUUUAAUUGCAGUGUUUUGUUAAUAAUGUUUCAAUAAAAAAAAUGAAAACACUCCAC